UACGUAGGGGGCAAGCGUUGUCCGGAUUUAUUGGGCGUAAAGAGCGUGUAGGCGGCUGGGUAGGUCUGCUGUGAAACUCGAGGCUCAACCUCGAGACGUCGGCGGAAACCCUCCAGCUAGAGUCCGGAAGAGGAGAGUGGAAUUCCGUGGUGUAGCGGUGAAAUGCGCAGAGUAUCAGGAGGAACACCGGUGGCGAAGGCGGGUCUCGUGGGCCGAUACUGACGCUGAGGAGCGAAAGCGUGGGGAGCGAACAGG
rnacentral:rRNA from 1 species